rnacentral:rRNA from 1 species
UACAGAGGGUGCGAGCGUUGUCCGGAAUCACUGGGCGUAAAGGGCGCGUAGGCGGCUUGACAAGUCACUUGUGAAAUCUCCGGGCUUAACUCGGAACGGCCAAGUGAAACUGUCAUGCUAGAGUGCAGAAGGGGCAAUCGGAAUUCUUGGUGUAGCGGUGAAAUGCGUAGAUAUCAAGAGGAACACCUGAGGUGAAGACGGGUUGCUGGGCUGACACUGACGCUGAGGCGCGAAAGCCAGGGGAGCAAACGGG